rnacentral:rRNA from 1 species
GAGAGUCGCAGAUACCAGGUGGCUGCAACUGUUUAUUAAAAACACAGCACUGUGCAAAAUCGUAAGAUGACGUAUACGGUGUGACGCCUGCCCGGUGCCGGAAGGUUAAUUGAUGGGGUUAGACUUCGGUCGAAGCUCUUGAUCGAAGCCCCGGUAAACGGCGGCCGUAACUAUAACGGUCCUAAGGUAGCGAAAUUCCUUGUCGGGUAAGUUCCGACCUGCACGAAUGGCGUAAUGAUGGCCACGCUGUCUCCACCCGAGACUCAGUGAAAUUGAAAUCGCUGUGAAGAUGCAGUGUACCCGCGGCUAGACGGAAAGACCCCGUGAACCUUUACUACAGCUUGGCACUGAACAUUGACCCUACAUGUGUAGGAUAGGUGGGAGGCUUUGAAGCACGUACGCCAGUAUGUGUGGAGCCGUCCUUGAAAUACCACCCUUGUAGUGUUGAUGUUCUAACGUUGACCCCUAAUCGGGGUUGCGGACAGUGCCUGGUGGGUAGUUUGACUGGGGCGGUCUCCUCCCAAAGAGUAACGGAGGAGCACGAAGGUGGGCUAAUCACGGUUGGACAUCGUGAGGUUAGUGCAAUGGCAUAAGCCCGCUUGACUGCGAGAAUGACAAUUCGAGCAGGUGCGAAAGCAGGUCAUAGUGAUCCGGUGGUUCUGAAUGGAAGGGCCAUCGCUCAACGGAUAAAAGGUACUCCGGGGAUAACAGGCUGAUACCGCCCAAGAGUUCAUAUCGACGGCGGUGUUUGGCACCUCGAUGUCGGCUCAUCACAUCCUGGGGCUGAAGUCGGUCCCAAGGGUAUGGCUGUUCGCCAUUUAAAGUGGUACGCGAGCUGGGUUUAGAACGUCGUGAGACAGUUCGGUCCCUAUCUGCCGUGGGCGUUGGAAGAUUGAAGGGGGCUGCUCCUAGUACGAGAGGACCGGAGUGGACGAACCUCUGGUGUUCGGGUUGUGUCGCCAGACGCAUUGCCCGGUAGCUAAGUUCGGAAUCGAUAACCGCUGAAAGCAUCUAAGCGGGAAGCGAGCCCUGAGAUGAGUCUUCCCUGAUACUUUAAGUAUCCUAAAGGGUUGUCGGAGACUACGACGUUGAUAGGUCAGGUGUGUAAGUGCUGUGAGGCAUUGAGCUAACUGAUACUAAUUGCCCGUGAGGCUUAACCAUACAACACCCAAGGGGUUU